GAGGGGUAUUGCACAAAAGUAGAAUUAAGAAAUCCAGGAUAACAGAAAAGGCGCGGCUUGACCUAGUUCAAUCAGUGCAUCCUGGCUUAAUCCGUUGCACGUUUGCUGAGCCAGGAUGAGAACGCGCGGAUAUGUCAAGCCAGGUGUAUAUAGUUUGGAUAAAUGCACGUUCACGGCAUUCUUAAAAAGAUCACGAAAUCGAUCACAGAAUCACCGAUGCAAAAAUGGACAAAACCCGUGCGGCAUACUUUUCGCCUAAUGAGCAACAGCUUCUUAUGGAAACGUAUGAAGAAGUGAAACAUAUUAUAUGUAAAAAAGGCAAUACAGCUGCUGUAAUAAAGCAAAGAGAGAAUGCCUGGCAAACAAUAGCGGACCGAUUGAAUGCCAAUAAAAAAAAAAGUCAUAUAUCUGGUACGGGGGGUGGCCCUCCAACCCAAGACUUCACCACAGCAGAGGAGCUGGCCCUGGACUUAAAUAAAGGGAAGCCAGUGAUUGAAGGGAUCCAGGGAGGGACAGCCACUGACUCUGGCCCAGCAAGGGAUACUGGCCUCUUCAUACAAGUGGAUGGUAACACCCUUACACUUUUGGAGCCACCAGACUAUAAUUCAUCGAGGGAAGCCACAUCUACAGCAGCGGAGUGCACUUCUGCCGAUGAUGAGACCGUGUCGCUGGACUCCAGAAGGCUCGAGGUAUCAUGUCAAUUUUGUGAUCCUGACAUUGGGCAGCCUGAUAAGCAGCCUCGUAACAUAAGUUCACAAACUGUCAGAUAUCUGUACACAACGCAUCUUAAGAGACCGAUCGAGCUGACAGAAGUCAAGAUUGAUGUGAAAAAAAGAAAGCUGCAGGACAUGGACCUUGAGAUGCAAAUUAAACGAAACACACUGAGGAAACUAGAACUGGAAAUCCAGAAACUAGAAAGAGAAGUAAGUGACUUCAGUUCAUACUGUAACCAUG
ensembl:lncRNA